CAAUAGCGUAUAUUAAAGUUGUUGCGGUUAAAAAAGCUCGUAGUUGGAGUUCUGCCAGGUGCCGCCUGUCCGCCCCAGUGGUGAGUACGUGGCGCGCAUUUGGCCCUUUCAAGGGGAGCGUAUCUGCACUUUAUUGUGUGGUGCGGGAUCCUUGACUUUUACUUUGAGGAAAUAGGAGUGUUCCAAGCAGGCUCUCGUCGUGCACAGCUCAGCAUGGAAUAAUAGCAUUGGACCUCGAUUCUAAGCUGUUGGUUGCCAGAAGCGAGGUAAUGAUUAAGAGGGACAGACGGGGGGCAUUCGUACUGGGCCGCCAGAGGUGAAAUUCUUUAACUGGCUCAUGACGAACCACUGCGAAAGCAUUUGCCAAGAAUGUUUUCAUUAAUCAAGAACGAAAGUCAGAGGGUCGAAGAAGAUCAGAU
rnacentral:rRNA from 1 species